UUAAUUAUAUCUGGCGUUAUCUUACCUCUGCUCCCUGCAUUUUGUGCAGGCUUGGUUUGGGUGUGACUUGAAUGCUUUGUCUUGGAGUUGAUUGUAAAUCGGACUCCUGUUGCUCCUAAGCAAGAGUGAAUAACAUCAAAUUUGCCUGGACUGUACAUGAUGUGCUGCAUUUAUCUAUAUCAGUGGCGUCUUUUUGAGAGAGGCUGUCGUCAAUUUCCUCCUCCUGAAAGUCAAAGCAAGAAUCUUCAUCUGAAUCUUCAUAUGGAGUGAGGCUGUGGGUAGGACUCUGCGACAGGAGGUCAAAGGCACUCUCCUCCUGGGUCAGAAUCCUCCUCUGAACUGAGGCUGUGGUUAGAACUCGGCCACGGGUCGAAGGCACUCUCCUGUGAAGGUCAGAAUCCUCCUCUGAACUGAGGUUGUGGUUAGAACUCUGCGACCGACCCUCCUCCUGUGAAGACAUCUCUUCUUUGGAGUAGGGGUGGAGUCGGACUCUUGCAGCCUGGCCUGUUCAGAGUACUCCUGUAGUUAGUAUCUCGAUGUAAGGACAUACACACCUGAUAUGGGUCUUGACGGCAGAAGCUGGAUGGCUCGGUGUCAUCAAUGUCCUAUAAUGCAAUAAAAUAUAUAUAGACAGCAGACGUACAUGUACAAACCUGAUAUGGGCUGGAUGGCUCGGUUGUUGGGGUGAGAGGUAAGAUUCCUCCUCUGGAGUGAGGCUGUGGUUAGGACUCUGCGACAGGUCAAAGGCACUCUCCUCCUGUGAAGGGUACAAACCUCUUCGUCCAUGCUGAUUGCACUGUGAAAUCUUGCUUUGCACUGAAAUCUUGCUCUCUGAUACAGCUUGCUGAGGGCACCCGCCUUAGACACGACUGACGGCUAGCCACAGGGAUCACUCGAUUAUGCAGGAGACGAUAUUGGGACCACCCCUACGUGCAAGAUUGAGGAGCGUCUCAUCAAGUCUCCACCUGUCCAUUACUGCGUGGACAGUGCUUGUGUGGGGUCUCGUCAGAAGGGAGCGGGGUCGACACCUCUAUGGACACCAUACCCCUCACCACUAUCAAACUAGGGGGCACUCCACAACUUGAGACUGUUCGGAACGAGCUACACAUCACUAAUCAGGUGAUGCAUCUGAGACCCCCCCCCCACAGAUAUGACAUACCACCGUCACUGCGGACAUUAAGACAAGCAACUUCACCAUUGUGAAGUUGGAGUCUCUCCUGCCCGCAUGCGUACGACCUGACCUACCAGCACUGGACCCAGAGGCAGAGGAAGUGGAUUGAUAGAGAGUGAGGGGACGAGGGGAGUGGGCGGGCACAGAAGGUGGGCGCUCUCUACAGUGACACCCUUAGGUCUAUAUUCACCACUUUAUUGUAUUUAUGGACUGAUUUUGUGUGCUUACUGCUAUUAAAUUGUUCGUAUAACGUUAUUGAAUUAUUGUUAUUUGUGAACGGUAAUACCGUAUAGCUGGUAAUCUUCGUGGGGCAAAAUAUUCGUGGUUUUUGUGGUUGGAGGUCUGACCAUGAAUAUUUUACCCACGAAU